AAUCCCUUGGUGAGGGCACUCCCUUUGAUAUUCCUUGAACCGAUCCCAAGCCUCAAAUAGAGACUCAUCCCGCUUUUGCUCAAAUGAUUGGAUCUUAUGACGAUACU
rfam:Spinacia oleracea cultivar SynViroflay scaffold4411.con0002.1, whole genome shotgun sequence.